CCUCAUGAAAGAGGGCAGUAGGAAAUGGAGAGUAGAGAUUGUCACACUCUCCAGAAAGUAGAGGGGCCAGGAGUUGUGCUCUCCAUGGACUGGAGCUACAGCACAGAGGAAUUAUUCUAGAAACCAAACAGAUGGAAGGGAGACAGUGCAAAGUCCUUUAUUAUGGAGGCUCUGAGCUAAAUGUGAAUGGAAUUUCACGUGACAAAGAAAAGUCACUUCUGGAGUCUGAGGGCUUUUCCUCAGCUGAAUAUGAAAGGCCUACUGCUAACAAUGCUUAACAAAAAAGUUCACUGAAAAAAAACAGAGAUUCCAUGAUGUGGCAUCAUAUUGGCUCACCACAUGGUUCAUCAGCAAGGUUGGAACCUUUAGAUCCACCACAGAGACUUCUGCCACAUGAGCUAACAGAAUAAUCAGUAGCCGUUACAGAUUAUCAUCUUCUAUGUGGACCAGAACUAGAGGGAGACGAGAGACUCACUUUGCCAAUUGAUUUCAAUGGAUUUCACAGGCUUUGGUGGUGGAGGGGAAUGUUUCUGAGUGAGUACAGACUCUCCUGCCCAUUUCCCCACCCCAAGCUUGACUCCUUCUCUCCUACCACUCCAACCUGUCCACAUCCCCAGUCUUGUCUCUUCCCCACCAAUAGCUUCUUGUCCCAGUCCUAUUCUCCUUGCCUUCCCAGUCUCCAUUCCUCAGUUUUCUCAUCCCAGUUCUAGUCUCCUUGCCCAUCCAGUUCUAUUUACCCACUCCAGGCUCGCUAUCCAAACCCCAGUGACCCAGCCAGUCCAAGUUUUCCCCAACCAGCUCCUUGUCCGAUCUAUCUCUCCACAUCCUUCCCACUGACUGCCAGGCAUAGGCUCCCUUCCUGGGCUUCUCACCUUAUCUGAAUCUCUCUUUCUCUACUCCUUUCCUGGCUCCUUGCCCCAGUCCUUUUGCCAAGUUAUUCCCAGUUCUCCAUGUUGUCAGAUCUGUUUCCUCUCCCCACUGCCUAUGCUUCCCUCCAUGCUGGUUCCAGUCCCACCACCCCUUAGCUCCUCAUCCAGUCUUAGUGUCUCCCCUCCUCCCCACAACCAACUGACUUGAGUCCCCCUUCUUUCUCUCCCUGGCUUUCAGACACCCUUAUUUCACUCCUCAACCCCCACCUCCGGCUCCCAGUCCCCUUGCCCAACAGUCCCUGUUUCUCUUACUCUUUAUUACAAUCCGGUCCGAUUCCUUGUCCCAAUCUACUCUUUUCAUGUCUCCAGGUCUGGCUUUUGUCCCCACCGCACUUGACUCAGACAGCAUUCUCUUGUACACUAUCUGGGUGACGGCAGGGGGGGGGUCAUUGAGCAGACAGGAGACAUCGGCCCCACUCUGGCCUAGAGCAGCCAUUGCAGAGUAAGUUCCCUAUUGUGAAUUCCCCAGGGGGCAUAAUGCUGGCAAGUUGGCUCUUACACCUUCUUUUUUCUGCAGCAUGCAUGUUGUGGAUGAGGAGAGCAGGGAGGAGGAGUGGCUGCAGUUCAAUGCGCUCUGGCAAUCUUCAGCUGGCAUAUGGUCCCUUACAGGGCCAUUACCAGCCAGCGCAAAUUAGAGCGUCCUGAGCCAGGGAUUUACAGAGAAUUGGGGAGACCCUUUCUUCUGUACCUAAUGGGAAGCAGUAGACAAAAUUCUGUCUGUAUGUUUGCCUAAACAAUGUGGUCCAGUAACUUUGUUCAUCUAAGUGAUGCAUCACAGUCUUCAGUAUAGGAAAUUUUUUAAUUUGCUCCAGUUCCAGAAAUCAGACAUGAGAAAUAUAGUGAAUGGGCAAUAUUCAAAACCACAUUGUGGCAUCUGGUUCUGAACAUCACUCAACUGAUUCUGAUUUGUAAGAGCAUUUAAACAGAAGGAGGGAAGAGACUCAUUACUAAUUGCUCUACAAGUAAAAAAGAAAAUAGCUGCUGCAACUGCAGGCAAAACACCUAUGAAAUUGUAUUUUAAUACUUUUGUGACACUAAAGAAGAACAUUAAAAUGUUUUUAUACG